GUAACUAUGCACGUCUUGACGGUACCUAAUCAGAAAGCCACGGCUAACUACGUGCCAGCAGCCGCGGUAAUACGUAGGUGGCAAGCGUUAUCCGGAAUUAUUGGGCGUAAAGCGCGCGUAGGCGGUUUUUAAGUCUGAUGUGAAAGACCCACCGGCUCAACCGUGGAGGGUCGAUUGGUAAACUAGGAAACUUAGAGUGCAGAAGAGGAAGUAGGAUUCCAUGUGUAGCGGUGAAAUGCGUAGAGAUUUGGAGGAACACCAGUGGCGAAGGCGACGCGGCCG
rnacentral:rRNA from 1 species